CCCGCUGAAUUGAAGUAUAUAAAUAAGCGGAGGAAAAAAAACCAACAGGGACUCCCUUAGUAGCGGCGAGCGAACCGGGAUGAGCCGUCACGGAUGAGCCCAGCGCCCGCAAUCUUCGGGUGUUGGAAAAUGUGGCGUAUAGGAGUGAGCGUUUCGGUGUUUGACUCUGCAGCAAGUCCCCCUGACCGGGGCUGUUACCCAGAGCGGGUGUGAGGCCCAUAGCUGCUAGGCCUGCUUCGGACGCGAUCUCAUAGGAGUCGGGUUGCUUGGGAGUGCAACUCUAAUCGUGUGGUAAACUCCAACCUAAAGCUAAAUACUGCCGUGAGACCAAUAGCAAACAAGUACCGUGAGGGAAAGUUGCAAAGAACUUUGAAGAGAGAGUUCAAGAGUACGUGAAACUGAAAACACGCAUGGCAGCAACUGAUAAAUAUGAUUUUAUAUUUUUGUUAAUUUAAUGGCGUACUUGUUUUAAUUUUCAAAGAUUAAUGUUAUUUAAUGACUUAUUACUCUCGUAAAAUAGCCAAACUUCAGAAUUAGUGCCUCACUGAUUAGAACUUCUGUAAAUUAAAACUUAACGAUCGGAACAUAUUAUGUAGUAAUGAAUUAAUUAGAAAUAACAGAAACUCGGGUCACAAACGUUUCAAAUCACUA
rnacentral:ncRNA from 1 species